UGUUAAGAUCUAUCAAAAUGUACCGAGACAGCUCUCCUUGCUGAAAUCUGAUGAACAAAAAGGCAAGCAACGUCCAGGAAGACUGUAAAAGAAUGGAUCAAAUUAAGAGCAAGAACAAAUGCAACCAAGAGAUGGGGUUUCAGCACAUUAGCCAGUAUCGUCUCGAUCUCUUCACCUCGUGAUCCGCCCACCUCGGCCUCCCCAAGUGCUGGGAUUACAGGCGUGAGCCACUGCGUUUUGCCAGUUCUCUUCCUUUAUUAAAACUACAUCAGAUGGUCUCCAUCAAUGACACGAAAGGCUAUGUGAGGACACAGCAGCAAGAAGAUGCCAUGUGAAAGCUGAGAAAUAAGGCCUCACCGGAAAGCAGCCCUGCUGGCACCUUAAUCUUGGACUUCUGUCCUCCAGAACUGUGAGAAAAUAAAUUUCUGUUGCUUUGUGGUA
ensembl:lncRNA novel transcript